ACAGUACUCCCUCCGUCCCAAAAUUCUUGUCUUAGAUUUGUCUAGAUACGGAUGUAUCAAGUCACAUUUUAGUAUUAGAUACAUCCGUAUCUAGACAAAUCUAAGACAAGAAAUUUGGGACAGAGGGAGUAGUUG
rfam:Triticum aestivum genome assembly, contig: Triticum_aestivum_CS42_TGACv1_scaffold_352348_4DL